CGCGGCGGGUUCAUCACCGGCGGUCGACUGCGAUUCACGGAGACACAACGAUCAGUGGUCAUCGCAAAUCACAGCGGCUUGUCCCUCCGCGGGCGCCGUAGAGGAGCGGCAGAACAGCGACACCUGCUGGCGGAAAUUUAAUCUCUUGAAGCAGUCUCUGAGUUGCCCAACGACCCGUCAGCAGAACCAUGUUGCUGCCGUGAAGAUCGAACCUGCGUCUCUUCUCUGUGGCGGUUCGUCCCCCGGCUGGAGCGAGUCCCACGGCGGCAGACCAGCGGUCGGCUGUGGGGUUCAAACGUCCGGUCAGGAACGUCGAUCAUGUGACAGAUCAUUUCUGACGACUGACUGAGCAAACGUCAUCUGCUGAUGAAGACGGUCAAGAGCUCCAGGACAUGUCGCUGUGGGCGCAGCCCGGCAGCGAGGAGAGCCCGAGGCCCGGCUGGCGGCUGGAGAAGGCGGGCGGAGGCUGGAUGAGGGGCGGGGUGUGGCCGAAGGCGCUGAGGCCGCGCUGCUGGGACAGGAGCUGCUGGUGUCCGUACGAGCUGCCGGCGGCCGAGCUGGUGCGCGAGUUGUUGAUGUAGGCCACCAGCGAGUUGGGCGACGUGCGGAUCAUCGUCUGCAGGUCGAUGGAGGCGUCGGACAGCGGCGAGAUGGACAGAGCUCGUUUCCUGCUGAGCCGCGGCGUCAGUCUGGGGCUGGAGAACCGGGACACUGCGGAGACACAGGCGAGUCACACACGGUGGAACCACCACUGGACCUGGUCACUGUCAGUUCCUGUCCUACAACUGUAUGAAAUAUAUAUAUAUAUAUAUAUAUAUACUGGAUAUUAAACUGACAUCCUGAGAUUGACAUUUAUGAGGAAAAACUUGGAUAUUUCCUGAGAUUAAAGUAGUAAAUUAA